GACAGAGGUGGCAAGCGGUGUUCGGAAUUACUGGGCUUAAAGGGCGCGUAGGCGGUGAGAUAAGUCUGAGGUGAAAUCCUAUGGCUUAACCAUAGAAUUGCCUUGGAAACUGUCUUACUUGAGUCAGCGAGGGGAUGGUGGAAUUCCCGGUGUAGCAGUGAAAUGCGUAGAUAUCGGGAGGAAGGCCGGUGGCGAAGGCGGCCAUCUGGUGCUGAACUGACGCUGAUGCGCGAAAGCGUGGGUAGCAAACAGGAUUAGAUACCCUGGUAGUCCACGCCCUAAACGGUGGGCAUUAGGUGUAGGGCUCGUAAGGGUUCUGUGCCGCAGUGAAAACAUUAAAUGCCCCGCCUGGGUAGUACGGCCGCAAGGUUGAAACUUAAAUGAAUUGACGG
rnacentral:rRNA from 1 species